UACGGAGGGAGCUAGCGUUAUUCGGAAUUACUGGGCGUAAAGCGCACGUAGGCGGCUUUGUAAGUAAGAGGUGAAAGCCUGGUGCUCAACACCAGAACUGCCUUUUAGACUGCAUCGCUUGAAUCCAGGAGAGGUGAGUGGAAUUCCGAGUGUAGAGGUGAAAUUCGUAGAUAUUCGGAAGAACACCAGUGGCGAAGGCGGCUGACUGGACAUGUAUU
rnacentral:rRNA from 1 species